CCUACGGGUGGCAGCAGUGAGGAAUAUUGGUCAAUGGGCGUUAGCCUGUACCAGCCAAGUAGCGUGAGGGAUGAAGGUUCUAUGGAUUGUAAACUUCUUUUAUAUGGGAAUAAAGUGCGGGAUGUGUCCUGCUUUGUAUGUACCUUAUGAAUAAGGAUCGGCUAACUCCGUGCCAGCAGCCGCGGUAAUACGGAGGAUCCGAGCGUUAUCCGGAUUUAUUGGGUUUAAAGGGAGCGUAGAUGGGUUGUUAAGUCAGUUGUGAAAGUUUGCGGCUCAACCGUAAAAUUGCAAUUGAUACUGGCAUUCUUGAGUACAGUAGAGGUAGGCGGAAUUCGUGGUGUAGCGGUGAAAUGCUUAGAUAUCACGAAGAACCCCGAUUGCGAAGGCAGCUUACUAAACUGUGACUGACAUUGAUGCUCGAAAGUGUGGGUAUCAAACAGGAUUAGAUACCCCAGUAGUC
rnacentral:rRNA from 1 species